rnacentral:rRNA from 1 species
CAACAACGGAUCUCUUGGCUCUCGCAUCGAU